rnacentral:misc_RNA from 1 species
GUGAAUCAUCGAAUCUUUGAACGCACAUUGCGCCCCUUGGUAUUCCGGGGGGCACACCUGUUCGAGCGCCAUUUCGACCCUCAAGCAUAGCUUGGUGUUGGGCAUACUCCCUAAGGGAGCUGCCCGUAACUCGUAGGCGGUCACCGCCCGCGCCCCCAGCGUAGCAAGCUUACGCGUUCGCUCGGGGACGGUGCGUCCGGCAAGCCCAAAAAUUUUACUUUCUGUUUUGGCCUCGGAUCAGGUGGGGAUACCCGCUGAACUUAAGCAUAUCAAUAAGCGGAGGA